GUCUUCUAUGGUUUAUAUUGGAAGUCUGGCCUGCCCGGUGAAAUGUUUUAACGGCCGCGGUAUAUUGACCGUGCAAAGGUAGCAUAAUCAUUAGUCUUUUAAUAGAAGGCUGGAAUGAAAGGUUUAACGAAGUAAUAGCUGUCUCAAAUAUUGAAUAAUUUAGAAUUUAUUUUUUAAGUCAAAAAACUUAAAUUUUAUUGAAAGACGAGAAGACCCUAUAGAGCUUUAUAGUUAAUUUUGUGAUAUUUAUUGGGCUUAUUUUUUUAUAUUACGGUAUUAAUUAUUUUGUUGGGGUGACAAAAAAUAUAUAAUUAACUUUUAUAUUUAUUAUACAUUGAUUUAUGAUUAUUAGAUCCAAUAUUAUUGAUUAAUAGACUAAGUUACCUUAGGGAUAACAGCGUAAUCCUCUUUUGGAGUUCAAAUUUACAAGAGGGCUUGCGACCUCGAUGUUGGAUUAAGAUAAUAGUUUGGUGUAGCAGCUUAACUUAUAGGUCUGUUCGACCUUUAAAUUCUUACAUGAUCUGAGUUCAAACCGG
rnacentral:rRNA from 1 species